CCUGAGAGUCCUGAAGGAACGUUGAAGACGACGACGUUGAUAGGCCGGGUGUGUAAGCGCAGCGAUGCGUUGAGCUAACCGGUACUAAUGAACCGUGAGGCUUAACCUU
rnacentral:rRNA from 1 species